AUUGAACGCUGGCGGCAUGCCUUACACAUGCAAGUCGAACGGUAACAGGUCUUCGGAUGCUGACGAGUGGCGAACGGGUGAGUAAUACAUCGGAACGUGCCUAGUAGUGGGGGAUAACUACUCGAAAGAGUGGCUAAUACCGCAUGAGAUCUACGGAUGAAAGCAGGGGAUCGCAAGACCUUGUGCUACUAGAGCGGCCGAUGGCAGAUUAGGUAGUUGGUGGGAUAAAAGCUUACCAAGCCGACGAUCUGUAGCUGGUCUGAGAGGACGAUCCGCCACACUGGGACUGAGACACGGCCCAGACUCCUACGGGAGGCAGCAGUGGGGAAUUUUGGACAAUGGGCGAAAGCCUGAUCCAGCAAUGCCGCGUGCAGGAUGAAGGCCUUCGGGUUGUAAACUGCUUUUGUACGGAACGAAAAGCCCCGGGUUAAUACCCUGGGGUCAUGACGGUACCGUAAGAAUAAGCACCGGCUAACUACGUGCCAGCAGCCGCGGUAA
rnacentral:rRNA from 1 species